AUGGCCUGGACCCUUCUCCUCCUCGGCCUCCUUGCUCACUGCACAGGGUCCUGGGCCCAGUCCGGGCUGAUGCAGGAAGGCUCCAUGUCAGGUUCUGUGGGACAGAAGGUCACCCUCUCCUGCACCGGAAAUGGCAACAAUGUUGGAGCUAAUAUCGUGAACUGGUACCAACAGAUUUCUCACGGGGACCCCAAAACGGCGAUGCUCGCAGGUUCUCUGCACUCAGGGAUCCUAGACCUGUUCUCUGGCUCCACGUCUGUCAACACGGCCUCUCUGACCAUCUCGGGGCUCCAGCCUGAGGACAAGGCUGAUUAUUACUGUUCAACGUGGGAUGACAGCAUCAGUGGAAAACACCAGCCCAGAAGGCGACUCCCUGAUGCCUCAGCAGAGGCCCCUCCCCUGGGAACCAGGACUUGGACGCAGUUUGGAUGCCCCUCACCUCCCCCACGCAAGACCGUUGUCAGGAACCACUCCGUCCACACGGACUCCGACAACCUCCUGACAAAGAAAACGUGCUUCCUCCCAGGGGGUCCCAAGGGGGAAGCCGCCCUCCAUCCCCUUGAGUCUGGGCUGUGA